UUUGCCCCUUGUUUCUUUAUUUCCCUUAUGCCUCUGUGGCUUUUGGGGGCCUUUCUAGUUUUUAUUUUAUUUUUAAUAAUUAUCAUAAUGGAAGGUGUUAAUUAGUCAUUUCAAUUGGUAUAAUGUUCUUUCAAUUUAUGAGACCUAUAUCGGGCUUCCAUAUUUUCCCAAUUUCAUAAUCAAAAUGCAAUGUGAUGAGAAAACUUUCCUUUUCUUUUCCUUCAUUAUUAUUUCACUGCUGGUGGUAUGAUGUGUUUUUCUUGUUUGAAU
rnacentral:lncRNA from 1 species